rnacentral:rRNA from 1 species
UACGUAGGGUGCGAGCGUUAAUCGGAAUUACUGGGCGUAAAGCGUGCGCAGGCGGCUUUGCAAGACAGAUGUGAAAUCCCCGGGCUUAACCUGGGAACUGCAUUUGUGACUGCAUGGCUGGAGUGCGGCAGAGGGGGAUGGAAUUCCGCGUGUAGCAGUGAAAUGCGUAGAUAUGCGGAGGAACACCGAUGGCGAAGGCAAUCCCCUGGGCCAAUACUGACGCUCAGGCACGAAAGCGUGGGGAGCAAACAGG